rnacentral:rRNA from 1 species
CAAUAGCGUAUAUUUAAGUUGUUGCAGUUAAAAAGCUCGUAGUUGGAUUUCGGAUGGGACUUGCCGGUCCGUCGUUUCGAUGUGCACUGGCCAGUCCUAUCUUGUUGUCGGGGACUAGCUCCUGGGCUUCACUGUCCGGGACUAGGAGCUGACGAGGUUACUUUGAGUAAAUUAGAGUGUUCAAAGCAAGCCUACGCUCUGAAUACAUUAGCAUGGAAUAACACGAUAGGACUCUGGCUUAUCUUGUUGGUCUGUGAGACCAGAGUAAUGAUUAAGAGGGACAGUCGGGGGCAUUCGUAUUUCAUUGACAGAGGUGAAAUUCUUGGAUUUAUGAAAGACGAACUUCUGCGAAAGCAUUUGUCAAGGAUGUUUUCAUUAA